ensembl:lncRNA novel transcript, antisense to CUEDC1
CAGAUGUUCGGGCAGGCAGGCCUGGGACCCGCUGGAGGGAGUCAAGAAGACACUACCUCCUAAUUAAUAGGCGGUAAAUGUCUGAGGAACAGACUCCUGUCCCAUUUCUUCAAACAUCUGGGGUUCCGGACACUUAGGCCCUCUGCCAGGAGACAUGAAUCUGGGGAUUAAAAGUUUCUGUGCUUUUCUUCAAACAGAACAAUCCUAAAACCACAUACUCUGAAAGUAUCAUUGAAACUGACCGAGAAGAGAAUCCUCAGCCAGAUUUUCCAUGGAGAACCAGACCUGUCUAAACCAGUAUGAGCUUUCAUUACAGUAAAGUAAUGGCAAAAGAA